rnacentral:rRNA from 1 species
GGACGAACGCUGGCGGCGUGCCUAAUACAUGCAAGUCGAACGGUCUUUCUAUGGAAGCUUGCUUCCACUGAGAAGAUAGUGGCGAACGGGUGAGUAACACGUGGGUAACCUGCCCAUAAGAGGGGGGAUAACAUCCGGAAACGGGUGCUAAUACCGCAUAGUUUUCUUGAUCGCAUGAUCGGGAAGGGAAAGACGGCCUUUGUGCUGUCGCUUAUGGAUGGACCCGCGGCGUAUUAGUUAGUUGGUGAGGUAACGGCUCACCAAGACGAUGAUACGUAGCCGACCUGAGAGGGUGAUCGGCCACAUUGGGACUGAGACACGCCCAAACUCCUACGGGAGGCAGCAGUAGGGAAUCUUCCGCAAUGGACGAAAGUCUGACGGAGCAACGCCGCGUGAGUGAAGAAAGGUUUUCGGAUCGUAAAACUCUGUUGUCAGAGAAGAACAAGUUGGAGAGUAACUGCUCCAGCCUUGACGGUAUCUGACCAGAAAGCCACGGCUAACUACGUGCCAGCAGCGGC